UACGUAGGGGGCGAGCGUUGUCCGGAUUUAUUGGGCGUAAAGAGCUCGUAGGCGGUUCGAUAAGUCGGACGUGAAAUCUCCACGCUCAACGUGGAGGGGCCGUUCGAUACUGUCGUGACUCGAGUCCGGUAGGGGAGUGUGGAAUUCCCGGUGUAGCAGUGAAAUGCGCAGAGAUCGGGAGGAACACCCGUAGCGAAGGCGGCACUCUGGGCCGGUACUGACGCUGAGGAGCGAAAGCGUGGGGAGCAAACAGG
rnacentral:rRNA from 1 species